rnacentral:rRNA from 1 species
GACGUAGGGCGCGAGCGUUGUCCGGAUUUAUUGGGCGUAAAGAGCUCGUAGGCGGCUUGUCGCGUCGACUGUGAAAACCCAUGGCUCAACCAUGUGGUCUGCAGUCGAUACGGGCAGGCUAGAAUUCGGUAGGGGAGACUGGAAUUCCUGGUGUAGCGGUGAAAUGCGCAGAUAUCAGGAGGAACACCGAUGGCGAAGGCGGCAUCCUGGACCGAAAUUGACGCUGAGGCGCGAAAGCCAGGGGAGCGAACGGG